rnacentral:ncRNA from 1 species
GACUAUAGGUUGAUCAUUGAUUUUUGUACAAUGUAUUUUAGUUACAUCUUUAUUCUGUAUUAAUUUUGGGUAAGUCAGAUAUUAUUAGUUACGUAACCCGAUUACGGUACAUUCAGGUCAGUGCUCCCCGCCCUUGUAUAGCUGUCACCGCGCGAUCCGCUAUGAAGUCCGUGUCAGGCGGGGAGUUUGACUGGGGCGGUACAUCUGUCAAAGAGUAACGCAGGUGUCCCAAGGUGAGCUCAGCGAGGACGGAAACCUCGCGUAGAGCAAAAGGGCCAAAGCUCACUUGAUUUUGAUUUUGCAGUAUGAAUACAGACCGGGAAA